CCUACGGGAGGCAGCAGUGAGGAAUAUUGGUCAAUGGACGAGAGUCUGAACCAGCCAAGUAGCGUGAAGGAUGACUGCCCUAUGGGUUGUAAACUUCUUUUAUAUGGGAAUAAAACAGGGUAUGCAUACCAUCUUGUAUGUACCAUAGGAAUAAGGAUCGGCUAACUACGUGCCAGCAGACGCGGUAAUACGGCGGAUCCGAGCGUUAUCCGGAUUUAUUGGGUUUAAAGGGAGCGUAGGUGGAUUGUUAAGUCAGUUGUGAAAGUUUGCGGCUCAACCGUAAAAUUGCAGUUGAAACUGGCAGUCUUGAGUACAGUAGAGGUGGGCGGAAUUCGUGGUGUAGCGGUGAAAUGCUUAGAUAUCACGAAGAACUCCGAUUGCGAAGGCAGCGCACUGGACUGCAACUGACACUGCUGCUCGAAAGUGUGGGUAUCAAACAGGAUUAGAUACCCGAGUAGUC
rnacentral:rRNA from 1 species